GACCAACGCUGGCGGUAUGCCUAACACAUGCAAGUCGAACGGACAGAACAGGGAAGCUUUUCGGAGUGGAACUGGAAAGUUAGUGGCGGGUGGGUGAGUAACGCGUGGACAACCUACCUUGUAAAGGGGAAUAACCUCGAGAAAUCGAAGCUAAUACCCCAUAAUAACCUUGCUUCGCAUGAAGUAAGGAGGAAAGGCGGCCUUAGCGCUGUCGAUACAAGAUGGGUCCGCGUCUGAUUAGCUAGUUGGUGAGGUAAAGGCUCACCAAGGCGACGAUCAGUAGCCGGCCUGAGAGGGUGAACGGCCACAUUGGGACUGAGACACGGCCCAAACUCCUACGGGAGGCAGCAGUGGGGAAUCUUCCGCAAUGGGCGAAAGCCUGACGGAGCAAUGCCGCGUGAGUGAAGAAGGCCUUCGGGUUGUAAAACUCUGUCCUUAUCGAAGAGAGAGUGUUGUAGUAACUGACAAUACUAGGACGGUAGAUGAGGAGGAAGCCCCGGCUAACUAUGUG
rnacentral:rRNA from 1 species